UUUUUUUUUUUUUUUUUUUUUAAUUCUAAAUAUAAAAGCCAGUGUAUGGAUAGGCUUCAGAUAGAAAUUCACAUAUUGCCUUAUUUUGGAUGAGAGAAAGAUUAGUGAGAGAUUUUGAAUACUGCAAAAUGUUUCCUUAAAUAUAAGGAUAAUAAUAUUAUCCAGAGAGACUUCAUGCAGAUUAUGAUCACUGCACCAGAGAGAAAACUGAGCAGAAGGGAAAAAUCCUUUGCCAACUUCGAAACCACUAUUCAUAAGUGGAUAAGCAUCUUUGCUUUUCAGAUGGAAAUAGAAAAAUAAAACAUUUCUAUUUGCCUUUUUUAACAAUUAUAUGAAGAAUAGUUUUCCUUCAUUUCUAUUCCCUGUAUAUUUACAAAUUUUGCAGCAGUGUCCUGUGUUCAAAUUUCAAAUUAAAACAACUGGCUGAGUUAAGACAAGUUACAACAUCAUUAACUAAAAGUCACAAAGUACUUUUAAAUAUUGCUGUAGCAACAGUGGUGGUUUUUUUAAUUUGGUCUUGUUCUUGUGUUUCUUUUUUUGUUUUGUUUUGGUUUGGUGGGUUUUGUUUGUUUGGGGGUUUUUGGGUUUUUGUUUUUGUUUUUUUCUUUUAAUGAGAUGAUGCAGUCACUAUUUUAAGAACUUACUGAAAUAGCACUUUGGAUGCUUAAUCCAAAACUUCCUGGAGACAACAAUUUUGCUACUGAAUUUAAGACUGAUUUGUCUUUUCUGAACUAGGACCUCACAGGGCAUUUCUGUAUAAUGGUACACUUGCAGAAGGCACAUAAAAAAACUUGUGAUGCUCCUGCUGUACUUUUGCCAUUUGUCUUGCCAAGGUUUUCAUUGUUUUUGGCUUUCUGAGAACCUGUCCUGGUCUGACAGAACCAGUGCCAGCCCACUGGUGACAGCGGCAGCAUCUCUGAGAUAAUUUGUUUAAGAAGUGUGAGGAGGGGGAGCAGAGCGGGAAGUGAAAUCAACAGCAAGUGCAGCUGGAGAGAGGAGUGAGAUCAUGUGAGAGAAGCAGCCCUGCAAACACGAAGGGCAGCAGAGAGAGGGGCAGGAGGUGCUCUGGGCACCAGAGCUGAGAUGUCCCUGCAGCCCGUGGUGCAGACCAUGAUGAGGCUCUGUGCUCUAUGGUGGAGGAGAUACUCAGCCACAGCUGAUGCAAAAUGCCACAGCAAAGCUGUGAACCCAUGGAAAGGAGCCCAGGAUGGAGCAGAUAUGCAACAUGACUGUUGACCCCACAGGGAAGCCAGGCUGGAACAGCCUAUUUUUGAAGGAUGGCAAAUCAUGAGGGACUCACACUGAGUAGUUGGUGAGGAACUGCAGCCUAUGGUAAGGAUCCAUGUUGAAAAAGUUCAUGGAGAAUUGUUUCCCAUGGGAAGAACACCACACUGGAGGAAGGGAAGACACAGGAAGAAGGAGCCAUACGGAUAAGUUUUGAACUAACCAUGACCUCAAUUUCUAGUGCACCUGUGCUGCUCUUGGGGAGAGGCAGAGAAAAAGUGGAGAAAAUUUGAGCCUGGGAAGAAGGGAGGGAUGGGGUGAAUAUGUUUUAAGAUUUGUUUUUGUUUCUCAUUAUCUUACCCUGACUUGAUUGGCAACAAAUUAAGUCAGUUUCCCUGAGCUGAGUGUAUUUUGCCUGUGACAGUACUUGGUGAGUGAUCUCUCUCCAUCCUAAUCCCAAUCCAUGAGACAUUAAUUACAUUUUCUCUCUCCUGUCCAGCUGAGGAGGGGGAGAGAUGGAUCAACUUUGGAGGGCACCGGGUAUUCACCUAGAGUCAACCCCCAGCACACCAUUACACUGCUGUGAGGUGAUCUAUAAAAUCUGCAGUGUAAACAUAGCCACAAGGUCCGAAUCAGAGUGGAGCCAUCUGCACACCCAAAAGCUAAACUGAGGGCUGUGUUUAUAAAGCUCAGUAUUUUAACUUUGGGACCAGUUUGCCUGUACUACUUUGCCCAUGUCAUAUACAAAAUAAUUAGUUUUCUACAGGAUCCUUAUUCUGCUUGCGGGAUCUUCUCCCACCUGCACAGUCUAAACAUGCUUAAGCAGCAUGAAAGAUGUUAGACACACAACAACCAACAAGGACUACAUUGAUUUCUGUGUUGCCCAAAGUGAAAUCUUUAUUAUAUUUAAAUAAAAAGAGAUUUCACAUCUGAUAUCAAUAGAAUCUGGUCUAUUUUCUCAUUCUUGCCACAUAGAAAAACCUGAAAUUUAAAAGCUCAGUAUUAUAUCUGAAUCUGGAUGGGGCAUGUUGCUUAUACAAGGUGAACACAAGGUAAAUAGAUUUCUAGCAGAAGGAUUAAGACAUAAAAAUAAAGUUUCUGACACAUCUUCCUCCUCCCAGGCCUGCUAUGGCAGGCUGGAUUUCUGCAUCUGUACAAGAGUUUGGAUCAGGAAACUUACACAGCUGAAAAGGUUCCAAAGGAAAGAAAAAAGGUUGAGUUUUCAUUUAUUUAGAUAGCUGCUAGCACCAGGCCAUAGACAGUACCAGGAUGUGCAGCCAAAGCAGGGAGGUAAUGGAGAGAUCAUUAUCUUUAAUGGCAGCCAGCUACUCUGUUGGUUCAAGGAGACUGUUAAACCACCCUGCCUGGUCAUCACUUACCUUAGAGGAAAGAAACCCUAAUUGGAAAGAUGGAGCAGCUAAAACCCCAAAUAUAGUUUAAAAUCUGUGCAGAUGGGUACAGAGACUUUGGGGCUGUAGACAUGGCUGUUGGAAAAAUUUUAAACAAAACCUCACUUUGCAAGAAGAAUAAGGGAUAUUUGGUUUUGAAGCACAUGAUAAAUUAAACGCCUUUUAGUUGUUGGGCAAUGAUAACUGAAUUCUAUGAAACCAGAGACAAUAGCACUCCGUACGAAAAGUGAAAUAUAAGAAAAAAAUUCUUUUUUAAGGAAAGUGCAAAAAAGAGCAUGUGGCUAACCUCAUUAAAAAAAGAAAUGGUCUUAUGAUUUUGAAGGACUGAACAACUAUUGAGAGAGCAGAUAAGGAGAAGAUUCUGGGACAAGAACUUCAGAGACAUCAUGGAUCAGGUGAGGUGGGGUGAACACAAUGAACAAUAGAACACUGUCAGGGGCAGGAAGUCAGAGUCUGUAAUGAAGCUACACAAGAGUUCACAGCACUCUGUAACUGAGUAUCCAAUUUGAAAAGAAACAAUAUCUGAAGAAGACAGGUGCCAAAUUUAACCCUGAUGGGCAGCUGAGUUCCAAGCUGCUGCUCAUUCACUACCACCCUGGGGGUAUGAGGGAGAGAAUUGGAAGAGUAAAAGUGAGAGAAGUCAUGGCUUGAGACAAAACCAGUUAAAUAGGUAAAACAAAAGCUGUGCACACAAGCAAAUCAAAACAAAGAAUUCACUCACUGCUUCCCAUGUAGGCAGGUAUUCAGUCAUCACCAGGAAAGAAAGGCCCCAUCACAUUUUGCAAUGACUUGGGAAGACAAAAUACACCAUAACUUUCUCUUGCUCCCUCUUUCUCUCUCAAAUCUUACCAGCCAAUAAUCAACCAAGAAAUAAAAUUCAUAAGUUUACAAGCAUCAGCAAAGCAUGUUCACUGUACAUAUAUGUGCUCAGAUGAGCUCUGUCAAUGGAAAAGGCUGAAUUGUGGCACUUACGCAUCAGACACUGGAGGCAAAAACAAUGUCACAGCAAAUCAGAAAGUAUGGUAAAGAAGGAAAAUAAAAUAGUGAUGAGUUUAUCUUAAUGUAGCAAUACCACCAGAAUUUAAAUAAGUUAAUUAUGUUCUUGGCACUUUCCGAACAACUAGCAAAGUAUACGUUGGUGCUUUUGGUUCUCUAAAUUCAAAGAUCUCAGCAUUAUCACAUAUUCAAAAUUAAUACAAUUAUUUAUCCUGUGACUUGAGUUUGAUUAGAAAUCAACACCUAAAGCUCAGUCCUAUUAUUCAUUAAAAAUUUCCUCUUCUUGCUGAAUGUUUUCUUGGGUUUACAGUCAUAAAAUUUUAAUAUAAAUACUAGUAAGCAGUAAAUAAUAAGAUGGAUGAUAAACAUAAUUGUGGUCAAAUAAUUUUAUCUAAGAUUUUUUUUUCUUAUCAAUGAAAUCUGCAGAUUCCAAUGAAAUCUUUUUAUCAAUGAAAUCGUCAUAAGCAGAGUUAGGACAGAGCGCUUGAAUGGGUGACUGUACGAAGCCUAGGAUAUAUAUAAUACCAAGAAUACAUCUUAAUAUCAAGUUUAACUCCCAGUGGUUAGCAAGUUAUUUAUGCUGUUCCUUUUGCUUUAAUGUGGUUGUUAUGGCAAAUGAAGGCUGCAAAAAGAUGAGCUCAUUAGGAAGAGUCAAGGGUAGGCAAGAAAGAAUGUACACAUGUAUAUUUCAUUAAGCCAAUAAAAAUGAUAUAUAAACCACUGCAAUGUCAGAAACAAUUUAAGGCUUCUCAGGGUUGAACUACACUGAAAAUUUCAUGAGCAUCGAUCAGGAUUAUUUUGUGGCACAAUCUAUAGACAUGUUACAAUUGAUUUAUUUUCCUUUCCCUGGUUUGAUAGACUUCUGUGUAACCCCUGUGAAGUAAAUGCCAUUGGAUAUUUCACAAGAAGGAAGGCUUGUUUUUCUAUCCAUCUACAAUUCCUUUUAGACCAGGUAAUUGUUUACUUAGGGACAUCAGCAGCUGAUGAAAAGGUAAGACACUUUUCAUUCACUCAUGGGAAAGUCACUGAAGUUUUAGCAGUGUUUCAGGAUUUAUAACUUCAAACUACAGACCAUAAGGAGGGGCAUUUCACACACUAUCAAAAAAUACUGUGCAGAAAAGAACCACACACAAGAGGAGUGAGUCGCUAUUUUUUUUCAGUCAUCAGGUUUCAGAAGAAUAGAGCUUGAAAGUGAAUAACCAUUACUUGUCACUGUCAAAAAACCUUUGUAAAAGUUUUGAGGGAAUAGGAAGUGAAGGAAUGAGUCAUUUAUGUGAGAAUUUAUUGCUGAGUAAUAUAAAAAUUAUGUUUUGACAUGUUUGCAUUUCACUUUAUGAAUUAUAUAAACAUAUAUAUAUUAAAACCAUAUUCUGUAUUUUUGUGGGUUUUUUUCUUCUUGGAACUGUUUGUAAGAGAAUAAUUCUUAACUAUUAAAAAGUGUUUCUAAGUUUAGCUCUGUUGGACAGUUUCCUCAUCCUUAUCAUAGCAUCUCACAAAGCUCCAGUUCUUCGAUCACAGAUUUGAAACAACCUCUAGAUUUCUAGGUUAGGUAUCUAAUGUACAACCUGCCAGCACAGGAGACUGCAACAACACAGCAUGACAGGAGAAUUAAAAUGUAGGAAAAGCAGCAUGGGUGCCCAUCGGAAAGAGGAACUCCACAGGUUGUCAUAUCUUAUUAUAAUCUGUGGUCGGUGUGGUGCAGCACUGGAAAACACAGCUCUGGUUUUUAUGUCUGUCUUGGACUAUGACUGACUCAUUCCACAGCUCUGCAUGGACAGUAGUCCUGUCACCAAAUUUCAGUUUUUGGAUGUAAGACAUAAAUGCUACUAGACCUUCUACUACUUUACAUUUGUGUGUUAGCUUUAGUCAGUGCGUUUAAAUAUUAAUUACUAGCCAGAUGCUGAUGCUAGUAUGGCUCCAGAUGCUGCUGCCAUGUGCUAGUCUCCACCACACAAGAUAAAAACCUAUUGAUCUCAGUAAUUUGUGGACAAUGGUGCCAAAAUUAAUUUUUGAUUUUUUUAUGCUACCAACACAGGAUGUCCUCCACUUUGAAGUCAUAACUAAGAAGGUGUUUUGGAGGCCACUGAAAAGUUGUUACAAAAUAAACUUUGGAUAAACAGGAAUCGUGAAGACCUCAGCCAGCCAUGUAAUCGUAAGUGGGAAGGCUUGGAAAAUCAUAUUGGAAGCAGAGCAUGAACCAAGAAAGAGCAAGGAAUCAAAGCAAAGCUAAUAGAGAAGCAGCACAAAGGAGCCUGAUGGGCUGAAGCGGGAAGUGAACUCUGCUCUUUGGGAAAAUCAAGAGAAAGGGCCUCAACCCAAGCUGAGAUGUACCCCAGGAAUUCUUGUCUCCAGUCCUGUCUCCUGUCUGGCUUUCCUGGGGUGAUGCUGGACAUGAGUCAUCACUUCAGUUGCCUGAUGAUUGCAGGCACCACUCAGUGCAUGGCUGUCAGCAGCCUGCUCGCACAGCUCCAGGAUCCAGGUGCUGGAGGAGACCGUGCUCCUGGAGACAGCGCAUUUCAGGGCCCAGGGAGGCCAGCUCAUAUUGUACCUCUGUCAGAACAUUAAACUGUCC
rnacentral:lncRNA from 1 species